rnacentral:telomerase_RNA from 1 species
ACUUCCUGCGUUCUCAUUUGGACUUGUUGUCUGGGUUCCAAGACUCCGGUCCUAUUUAACCCUAACCGGGUCGGACACAUCCACUUCUUUGCGUAUCUUGCAGUUUUUUAUGCCAGUUUUCUGUGGGAUUGGAGUGGAGGAUAAACAAGAGCUGCAAAUAACUGGUUUCCGAGUUCUCAGGAAGAUUGAGCUGUACUUAAAAAUGGCUGACAUGUUUGUAUCUAAAUAUAACCUGACGGUGAAGCGACCACUUCCACUGACCUUGUGUUAAAUGUUGUGUGUUAAGGGUUCUCCCUGCUGCUUGCCGUUCAACGGUUUGUUUAGAUGUUACAUUGGUGUCUGUCAUUAAUACGUAGAUCAAAUAUUGAGAGAACGGUCAUUUCGCCUGGUUCUUAAGCAUUAGAACUGCAGGUCGACCAUGGUCUUUCAAACAACC